rnacentral:rRNA from 1 species
GCAAGUCGAACGAUUAAAGCUCCCUUCGGGGAGUGCAUAAAGUGGCGCACGGGUGAGUAACACGUAAAUAAUCUACCCUCGGGUGGGGAAUAACAUCGGGAAACCGAUGCUAAUACCGCAUAAUGCAGCGGCACCGCAAGGUGACAGUUGUUAAAGAUUUAUUGCCUGGGGAGGAGCUUGCGGCAGAUUAGCUUGUUGGUAAGGUAACGGCUUACCAAGGCUACGAUCUGUAUCCGGUCUAAGAGGACGGUCGGACACACUGACACUGAAUAACGGGUCAGACUCCUACGGGAGGCAGCAGUCGGGAAUUUUGGGCAAUGGGGGAAACCCUGACCCAGCAACGCCGCGUGAAGGAUGAAGUAUUUCGGUAUGUAAACUUCGAAAGAAUAGGAAGAAUUAAUGACGGUACUAUUUAUAAGGUCCGGCUAACUACGUGCCAGCAGCCGCGGUAAUACGUAGGGACCAAGCGUUGUUCGGAUUUACUGGGCGUAAAGGGCGCGUAGGCGGCGCGGUAAGUCACUUGUGAAAUCUCUGAGCUUAACUCAGAACGGCCAAGUGAUACUGCAGUGCUAGAGUGUGGAAGGGGCAAUCGGAAUUCUUGGUGUAGCGGUGAAAUGCGUAGAUAUCAAGAGGAACACCUGAGGUGAAGACGGGUUGCUGGGCCAACACUGACGCUGAGGCGCGAAAGCCAGGGGAGCAAACGGGAUUAGAUACCCCGGUAGUCCUGGCCCUAAACGAUGAAUACUUGGUGUCUGGAGUUUUAAUGCUCCGGGUGCCGUCGCUAACGUUUUUAGUAUUCCGCCUGGGGAGUACGCUCGCAAGAGUG